AUUGAACGCUGGCGGCAUGCCUUACACAUGCAAGUCGAACGGUAACAGGUCUUCGGAUGCUGACGAGUGGCGAACGGGUGAGUAAUACAUCGGAACGUGCCUAGUAGUGGGGGAUAACUACUCGAAAGAGUGGCUAAUACCGCAUGAGAUCUACGGAUGAAAGCAGGGGAUCGCAAGACCUUGUGCUACUAGAGCGGCCGAGGGCAGAUUAGGUAGUUGGUGGGAUAAAAGCUUACCAAGCCGACGAUCUGUAGCUGGUCUGAGAGGACGAUCAGCCACGCUGGGACAGAGACACGGCCCAGACUCCUACGGUAGGCAGCAGUGGGGAAUUUUGGACAAUGGGCGCAAGCCUGAUCCAGCAAUGCCGCGUGCAGGAUGAAGGCCUUCGGGUUGUAAACUGCUUUUGUACGGAACGAAAAGCCCCGGGUUAAUACCCUGGGGUCAUGACGGUACCGUAAGAAUAAGCACCGGCUAACUACGUGCCAGCCGCCGCAGUAA
rnacentral:rRNA from 1 species